UACGGGGGGAGCAAGCGUUGUUCGGAUUUACUGGGCGUAAAGGGCGCGUAGGCGGCCACCGCAAGUCAGUUGUGAAAUCUCUGGGCUUAACCCAGAAAGGUCAACUGAUACUGCGGGGCUAGAGUGCAGAAGGGGCAACUGGAAUUCUCGGUGUAGCGGUGAAAUGCGUAGAUAUCGAGAGGAACACCUGCGGCGAAGGCGGAUCUCUGGGCCGAUACUGACGCUGAGGAGCGAAAGCGUGGGGAGCGAACAGG
rnacentral:rRNA from 1 species